CCUUCUGCAGCUUCACCCGGGACUCGCCACACCGCAGAGGAAGAUGAAGGUCGCGGUGCUCAGCCUGGCCCUGCUCUUCACCGUCCUGCUGUGCAUGCCAGAAGAUGCUCAGGCACUCCCGGAAGGAAGUGGAGAAGUUAACCUGAGGGAUCUUCUGACCGAGGAGGAGUUAAGACAAUUUCUGCG